rnacentral:misc_RNA from 1 species
AAAGAAGCUUGCAUCAUGUCAUCCUCCUAAAGAUCUUUUGCUACUGUAACGAAAUCCAUUAAAGCAGGCAUUGGUGAUUUUGGUUUGGCAUUGUAUUAGAAUGACAUGUUCAUAGCAAAUUCUUAAGAGACUAGUAAUAUCUUUUUUCACCUCAUUUUGUUGCAGUUUCUAUUGCCUGUAACAAGAAAAGCUCAAACAAAAUAUGGGAAAAGCAAAGGCGCUAUAUAAUUGCAAAAUUAUUGUUGGCGAAGAGAGGAGAGGAGUACAUCCUGCAGGGAACUGUCUCUUUGCAUGGCAGCUUUGAACUCAUCGAAGGUGACUUUUCCAUCACUGUUAGCAUCCAUUCGAUCAAAUAUUUCAUCCAGUUUUCCAGGUUCUGUGAUAUCUGCUGGAAGGCAGUCCUCUGGCAAUGCCGUGAGCAGGGAUGCUACUUCUUCCUUUGUGAUGCAUCCAGAUCUGUCUGUAUCAUACAUCUGGAAGCACAGCCGAAGAGCAGCGUCUCCUUGAGAGUUCCUCAAGCUGGAGAACCCACAGAGUAUCUCUCUCAUGUCAACUGUUCCAUCACGAUUGUUGUCAAAGAGAUCAAAUAUGCGUGGUGCUAGAGGGAUUAGUGAAGACAUGUUCAUUGCCUUUAGCACCUCUUCAAAUUCUGAUAGAGUGGCAUUGUCGCCUUUCGCACAUAGUUUUGUAAAAUGUAUCCUGAGAUUCUCAAUUUCUUCUUCUUUAAGGUCAUGGGAGCCCAGUAAAGAUUUUAACUUCUUGGUUCUCAAAAAGAUUGUGCUGCUCCACACGCUCGCUAUUGCUGCAGCUCGGAGUUUGCGACGGGCAUUGAAACUCUGCAGUCUUGAUACGAUCUCAGGGUCCAUUUGUUCCUCUUUCGCCAAAUCACCUCUUACCCAUGGAUGGUUGAGAAUAUCUAGAGCACUUGGUCUCUUAUCAGGAUCAACUUGUAAGAGAUCAGUAAUCAAUUGCUUUGCUGAGGAAGUAAUAUUCCUCCAAGUCUUCUCAUAGAAACUGAAUUCACCAGCAAUUAUCAUUUGUUGCUUCUGCCGGUUUGACUGUGCAAUGAAUGGUGGAUACCCAGAGAGCAGAAUAUACAUGAUUACUCCCAAAGACCACAUAUCGCUUUUAGAACUUAUUCUGCCCUGAGAAAGAGCCUCUGGUGAAACAUAAUCAAUAGAACCAAACAGCCCAACAACUGGAUCUGUGAAUUCCUCCGCAGAACUCAAUCCAAAGUCCAUGAUCUUCAAAGUAGAGUCAUCACUUUCAUUCAAGAAAAGACAGUUCUCUGGCUUCAAGUCCCUGUGUACGAUAUUGGCCCUGUGAAGAGCCUCUAACCCUCUCGCAAUCUGCCUAACUACAGCUGCUGCUUUAAUCUCCGAGUACCUGUCCCGGGCUACGAUCCGAUCAAAAAGCUCGCCGCCCGAACAAAGCUCUAGGACAAGAUGCACACCAUUUUGAUCCUCAUAGACGUCAUAAAGGUCAAUGACAUUGGGAUGGGGUGAUACGUUUUCAACAAUCUUUCUCAUAACCAAUAUCUCAUUGGUAAGCAAGGCAUCGGAUAUGGAAACCUGCUUCCAUGUUGGAAAGUUGACGCGAGGGAUUCUUGAAGGAGUUGAUGGACCUAAUCUUCUGAGAGUCUUGAUGGCUACAUGACUUGUCUCUCCACUGGACUUCCUUAUACCUCUUCUUACAACUGAGAAUCCACCUCUCCCAAGAAUGUCCGAAACUUCAUAUUCAUCUGAAAGUUUUCUAGUUUUCUGUCCCAUGGAAGGAAUUCUCCAGGAAACACCCAAAAGAAAUGGAAUCUUGAAGACUUGGGAAUAUGCAGAGAAACAAACAAUAAGGGAAGCUACUGGACAGGUGUAUCCAAUAAUUAUAAGGAAGAAUGGAAAGGUUGAAACGCGGAUUGGUAUAAAUGACAUCAGCCUAAUAUGAAAUUUUGCAUUAGUUUAUACCAUAAAAUAUGAAAAG